CCCGAGGAAGUUACAACAGGAACACAUGAUACAUCUGUACUCUUUGCCAUGUGACUGUAUGACGCCUCCUAGUAAGGAGAGCUUCCUAGGGUGGCAGAUACAUGCAGCCAAUUUAAGCCCAACCUGUAGGCAGAAGCAGAGCUACCCAGCUAAUCUGCAGACAUGCGGGGAACUUGUCUGCUUUAGAAAUGCUGCCUGAUGGACCAGCACCAAGGACGUUUC
rnacentral:lncRNA from 1 species